AGAGUUUGAUCCUGGCUCAGGAUGAACGCUGGCGGCGUGCUUAACACAUGCAAGUCGAACGAACCUUCGGGUUAGUGGCGGACGGGUGAGUAACGCGUGAGAAUCUGCCCUCAGGAGGGGGAUAACGGCUGGAAACGGCCGCUGAUACCCCAUAUGCCGAGAGGUGAAAUGAAUUUCGCCUGAGGAUGAGCUCGCGUCUGAUUAGCUAGUUGGUGGGGUAAAGGCCUACCAAGGCUUCGAUCAGUAGCUGGUCUGAGAGGAUGAUCAGCCACUCUGGGACUGAGACACGGCCCAGACUCCUACGGGAGGCAGCAGUGGGGAAUUUUCCGCAAUGGGCGAAAGCCUGACGGAGCAACGCCGCGUGAGGGAUGAAGGCCUCUGGGCUGUAAACCUCUUUUAUCAAGGAAGAAGAUCUGACGGUACUUGAUGAAUAAGCCACGGCUAAUUCCGUGCCAGCAGCCGCAAAGGGAGUGGCUUACCGGAAUUAUUGGGCGUAAAGCGUCCGCAGGCGGUCUUUUAAGUCUGUCGUCAAAGCGUGGAGCUUAACUCCAUUUCUGCGAUGGAAACUGGGAGACUAGAGUGUGGUAGGGGCAGAGGGAAUUCCCGGUGUAGCGGUGAAAUGCGUAGAUAUCGGGAAGAACACCAGUGGCGAAGGCGCUCUGCUGGGCCAUAACUGACGCUCAUGGACGAAAGCCAGGGGAGCGAAAGGGAUCAGGUACCCCUGUAGUCCUGGCCGUAAACGAUGAACACUAGGUGUCGGGGGAAUCGACCCCCUCGGUGUCGUAGCCAACGCGUUAAGUGUUCCGCCUGGGGAGUACGCACGCAAGUGUGAAACUCAAAGGAAUUGACGGGGGCCCGCACAAGCGGUGGAGUAUGUGGUUUAAUUCGAUGCAACGCGAAGAACCUUACCAGGGUUUGACAUCCUGCGAAUCUUUUGGAAACGAGAGAGUGCCUUCGGGAGCGCAGUGACAGGUGGUGCAUGGCUGUCGUCAGCUCUGUCGUGAGAUGUUGGGUUAAUCCCGCAACGAGCCAACCCACGUCGUUAGUUGCCAGCAUUUAGUUGGGCACUCUAGCGAGACCGCCGGUGAUAAACCGGAGGAAGGUGUGGAUGACGUCAAGUCAUCAUGCCCCUUACAUCCUGGGCUACACACGUACUACAAUGCUACGGACAAAGGGCAGCAAGCUCGCGAGAGUUAGCAAAUCCCAUAAACCGUGGCUCAGUUCAGAUCGUAGGCUGCAACUCGCCUACGUGAAGGAGGGAUCGCUAGUAAUCGCAGGUCAGCAUACUGCGGUGAAUACGUUCCCGGGCCUUGUACACACCGCCCGUCACACCAUGGAAGUUGGCCACGCCCGAAGCCGUUACUCCAACCCUUGUGGAGGAGGACGUCGAAGGUGGGGCUGAUGACUGGGGUGAAGUCGUAACAAGGUAACCAAGGGCGAAUUCGCGGC
rnacentral:rRNA from 1 species